rnacentral:rRNA from 1 species
UAGGGAAUUUUGGGCAAUGGGCGAAAGCCUGACCCAGCAACGCCGCGUGAGGGAUGAAGUAUUUCGGUAUGUAAACCUCGAAAGAAUGGGAAGAAUAAAUGACGGUACCAUUUAUAAGCUCCGGCUAACUACGUGCCAGCAGCCGCGGUAAUACGUAGGGAGCAAGCGUUGUUCGGAUUUACUGGGCGUAAAGGGCGCGUAGGCGGCGCGGUAAGUCACUUGUGAAAUCUCUGAGCUUAACUCAGAACGGCCAAGUGAUACUGCUGUGCUAGAGUGCGGAAGAGGCAACCGGAAUUCUUGGUGUAGCGGUGAAAUGCGUAGAUAUCAAGAGGAACACCUGAGGCGAAGGCGGGUUGCUGGGCCGACACUGACGCUGAUGCGCGAAAGCCAGGGGAGCAAACG